UCUGCCACCUCCGUCUUCGCCGGCUUCAUCUGCCCUCAUCAUCGGGCACCUCAAGAACCCAGCCCACAACCACCGAACUCCGCCGCUCCUAUAGUCGUCGCCGGGGCCUCCCCGGGCCCUCUAGGCCUCUGGCGACCUCGGAAUCCCAUCCCGCAAACCCAGACAGCCGCUUCGGACCCGCUGAUUCUCGUAAUCGAGGAAAAGGAGGACUUGCUUCCACUGCUUUCGCUCGGGAGUGCUAAGUUCGUCGCCAUCAUCUCUGAUAACUUUCCUAUACGCCAUGUCGAUCUCUUAGAGGCGACAAUCGCGUUGGAGUCGCAGAAGCCGCAGGAAUUCCAGAGAUUCGUGGUCGCCAACCCUGAAAUAUUUUGCCAGCUACAGAAGCAAAAGGAGCACCUUCUUGCGACGGUGAGGGUGCUCGACCGCAAGGCCAGACAAUGCAGUAGGCUCGUCCAUCAGAUGCAAGUAAUCGAGCGCGAGAUCCGCUCCGUCGGUGAUAUCGCUAGCGAAGGCAUCAAUCGACAGAUCCGCCUCGUGGCCGACGCCGGCCUUUCAAUUCUUCGUGAGCACCGGCGCCUGCGGGCUCAGCACGGUAUCUAGCUAGGUCCGGUUGGUGAGGUACCUUUCUCUCUACCUUCUUUAACCCCUUGUUUCUUGAUCCAGCGAUCGAUCUGAUGACUUACUUGUUUGAUUUCUUGUUAUUUCGGUUUUUUAUUUUUGAUUUUUUUUUAUGAUGUAGCGUCUUAUUUUCCUCAGUUCAUACCGUGCUAUAUGCAUGGCCCAUUCGUACCAUACUCGAUAUGAAGACUUUUAGAGCUGCCCGCUGUAAGUAAAGCACCUGAAGCCUUGAUUUCCUGUUAGCUUGUGGAAUGCUCGAUCCAAUCUUCUGUGCCUGAUUUCUGUCAAGCAUUCUGUUUUCUGAUUAAGCAAUUGAAUGAAUCAGAGACAGCCCAAAAACAAAAAAAAACCUCGCUUCCUCCAACUCUUUUGGUUAUUUGCAAUUGUUAA
rnacentral:lncRNA from 1 species